rnacentral:lncRNA from 1 species
ACUUGGCCAUAACUCUCCCAACCUCUUACCAACGAAAUUAUCUUGCCCAUAAGCUCCUAAUCAAAGCCCAACCAUCACAAACAACAAAUCAGAAGCAUCAAAGCCAAAAAAAUCAAAAAUCGAAGCUAGAAAAGGUAUGAAAUUCCCUAAUUUAGAAAUCCUUCGAUUCGAUGUUAAUUGAUGCAAUUGAUUGUUUAAAGUAGUGUAAUAGGGAGUCUAUUAAUGUUCUGGGUUGUAAAAUCAUGAACCCAUAACAUCAAAGUGCACGAAUUUGAAGAUUUGAGCAAGUUGGAAAAACCGAAUUCUGUGAUUUUUGGGCAAAUGUCAAGACUUAUAUCUCUGUGAUUAUUUACUGUUUGUGUUGUUUAAAAGUUGUUAGGUGUAUCUUGUUAUGUGGUCUUUAACCUCCAAAAGGAAUCAAGUUCAUAUCUAUUGUAGAUCGGGAUUUAUAAGCGGUCAAAGUGGGUUGACCGACAUUGACCGGCUGUUUUUCAAAUCCAGAAAAUAUUCUAAGUGUCCAGAAAAUAUUUUUUUGGCAAAUGUCAGGCCUUAUAUCUCAGUCAUCUGUAAUGUGUUUUGUAUUCUAAAGGUUGAUAUGUGUAGCUUGUUAUGUGGUAUUUAAUCUCCAAAAAUAAUCAGGUCCAUAUAUAUUACGGAUUAAUAGUUAUUUAAGGUCAAAGUGGGUUGACCGGCAUUGAUCAGAAAAUUCUGGGCAGCCCAGAAUUUUCUAAGUGUUAAUU